GAUGAACGCUAGCGGCAGGCUUAACACAUGCAAGUCGAGGGGCAGCAUGAGGGUUAGCAAUAACUCUUGAUGGCGACCGGCGCAAGGGUGCGUAACGCGUGAGCAACUUGCCCGUUUCUGGGGGAUAACCGGUGGAAACGCCGACUAAUACCCCAUGGCAUUGAUUUCAGGCAUCUGUUAUCAAUUAAAGAAUUUCGGAGACGGAUAGGCUCGCGUGACAUUAGCUAAGAUGGCGGGGUAACGGCCCACCAUGGCGACGAUGUCUAGGGGUUCUGAGAGGAAGGUCCCCCACACUGGAACUGAGACACGGUCCAGACUCCUACGGGAGGCAGCAGUGAGGAAUAUUGGUCAAUGGUCUGACGACUGAACCAGCCAUGCCGCGUGAAGGUGACGGCCCUAUGGGUCUUAAACUUCUUUUGCAAGGGAGCAAUAAGGCGUACGUGUACGUCGAUGAGAGUACCUUGCGAAUAAGCAUCGGCUAACUCCGUG
rnacentral:rRNA from 1 species